rnacentral:tRNA from 1 species
UAUAUUUUAGUGUUAAGUGCACGAGAAAUUUUGAUUUUCUAAGUUAUGGAGUGAUCUAUAAAAUAUAA